rnacentral:rRNA from 1 species
AAACGUAGGAGGCUAGCGUUAUCCGGAUUUAUUGGGCGUAAAGCGUGUGCAGGCGGUUUAGCAAGUUGGAUGUGAAAGCUCCUGGCUUAACUGGGAGAGGUCGUUCAAAACUGCUAGACUAGAGAAUGGGAGAGGGAGGUGGAAUUCCGGGUGUAGUGGUGAAAUGCGUAGAUAUCCGGAGGAACACCAGUGGCGAAAGCGGCCUCCUAGACCAUUUCUGACGCUAAGACACGAAAGCUAGGGUAGCAAACGGGAUUAGAGACCCCGGUAGUCCUAGCUGUAAACGAUGUAGACUUGGCGUUGGCGGAGUUAAAUCUGCCAGUGCCGAAGCUAACGCGUGAAGUCUACCGCCUGGGGACUACGACCGCAAGGUUAAA